UGUCCAGUAGCACCUUAGAGGUCAACUAUGUUUGUUCUGGGUAUAAGCUUUUGUGUGCAUGCACACUUCUUCAGAUACUUAUACCCAGAACAAACUUCGCUGGUCUCUGAGGUGCUACUGGACA